rfam:Pseudoalteromonas phenolica strain KCTC 12086 chromosome I, complete sequence.
CGCCCUACCCCCUUCUAUCACGCCUGAAAAUAAGUAAUUGAUGAGUAAUUCAUUUCAUGGAUGAAAUGUAAGGCUGACUUAGUCCAUGGAUGGACUAUUCAGCCGCUUACGUUCACAUCAAUUAUUUAUUUGAAGAAUUAGCGUGAUAGAGAGGCGCCGUGG